rnacentral:tRNA from 1 species
GGGAGUUUGGCCGAGUGGUUAAGGCGUUGUGUUUAGGUCAUCCUUGAUUGUCCCUGACGAUUGAACGGAGCCCCGCAAUGGGAAACCGCGCAGGUUCGAAUCCUGCAGCUCUCA